CAGGGAUGUGCGGCGUGCCUAUACAUGCAGUCGAACGCGUCUACGUUAAUGAAAUCAAUGUGCUUGCACGGCGAUGGAUUUAACAUUAGACGAGUGGCGAACUGGUGAGUAACACGUGGGUAACCUGCCCUCAAGCAGGGGAUAACACUUGGAAACAGGUGCUAAUACCGUAUAACAACAAAAACCGCAUGGUUUUUGUUUGAAAGAUGGUUUCGGCUAUCACUUGAGGAUGGACCCGCGGCGUAUUAGCUAGUUGGUGAGGUAAUGGCUCACCAAGGCAAUGAUACGUAGCCGACCUGAGAGGGUAAUCGGCCACAUUGGGACUGAGACACGGCCCAAACUCCUACGGGAGGCAGCAGUAGGGAAUCUUCCACAAUGGACGAAAGUCUGAUGGAGCAACGCCGCGUGAGUGAUGAAGGGUUUCGGCUCGUAAAACUCUGUUGUUAAAGAAGAACAGGUGUAAGAGUAACUGUUUACACCGUGACGGUAUUUAACCAGAAAGCCACGGCUAACUACGUGCCAGCAGCCGCGGUAAUACGUAGGUGGCAAGCGUUGUCCGGAUUUAUUGGGCGUAAAGCGAGCGCAGGCGGUCUUUUAAGUCUGAUGUGAAAGCCUUCGGCUUAACCGGAGAAGUGCAUCGGAAACUGGGAGACUUGAGUGCAGAAGAGGACAGUGGAACUCCAUGUGUAGCGGUGAAAUGCGUAGAUAUAUGGAAGAACACCAGUGGCGAAGGCGGCUGUCUGGUCUGUAACUGACGCUGAGGCUCGAAAGCAUGGGUAGCGAACAGGAUUAGAUACCCUGGUAGUCCAUGCCGUAAACGAUGAGUGCUAAGUGUUGGAGGGUUUCCGCCCUUCAGUGCUGCAGCUAACGCAUUAAGCACUCCGCCUGGGGAGUACGACCGCAAGGUUGAAACUCAAAGGAAUUGACGGGGGCCCGCACAAGCGGUGGAGCAUGUGGUUUAAUUCGAUGCUACGCGAAGAACCUUACCAGGUCUUGACAUCUUCUGCUAACCCAAGAGAUUGGGCGUUCCCUUCGGGGACGGAAUGACAGGUGGUGCAUGGUUGUCGUCAGCUCCUGUCCUGAGAAGUUGGGGUUAAGUCCCCGCAACGAGCGCAACCCUUAUUGUUAGUUGCCCCCAUUUAGUUGGGCACCCUAGCAAGAAUGCCGGUGACAACCCGAGGAGAGAGGGGGGACGAACCUCAAUCAAUCUUGGCCCCUUAUA
rnacentral:rRNA from 1 species